UCAUACGCAUAAAUAUUACUUCUCUCAUAAAUUCCAAUAAGUUUUCAACGGUCUUUGUGAACUUUCAGCUACACAUGUUUCCCUUUGUGUAAGCCCAACUCUUUAAUCCCUGUCAAAGCUCUUUAAACGCGCUCACAUCAUUUCCCCUGCUGAACAAGAAAAUCGCCAGCUCCACAUGCCAGCAAUUGUUUAGAGAAAACAUAAAUCAUUUCCUGCUAGACGCGAUCGCCCAGAACAAAGAAGGAAGAUGCAACUCGCAUGGAGAGCUACGACUACUCAGUCGUUGUCUUUAAAUGUGACUUGAUCUUCGCAUUGAUCCUCAUUUAGCCUUUCACACGACCUUUCAACUCUGCAGUCGCAUAUUUUCGAGCUUUU